AUGAUGGCUCGGGGACAGGGCACAUACCAUACGUCGUCGUUACCCUUCACACAUCACUGUAACCCCCUUUCUUCUAUCUUCCGCUCACGAAUCCCUCCACCAUCGAUUUCCACCCUUACGAACAAUUGCAACAAACAACAAUCUACCAUCGUUAAGGAACCGGUUGGGAUUGUAUAUUCAGAUAACUCUUCAAACAGUAAUAAUUUGCUUCGAGGGGAACGUGUAGUAUCCAGGGUAUUUUUGCUAUAUGGAGGAAGAUUAUUUUGCAUGCUGAGGCAUUUCCCAAUUGAAUCUAAAGGGAGAAGAAAGAAACUUCAUGAGGUCGGAUCUGUUACAGCCAUCUGUUUCACCUGCUUUCUAAUAAGAUGUGUUAUGGUCUUCUGUUGCUGCUAA